UGAGGAAUAUUGGGCAAUGCCCGCAAGGGUGACCCAGCAACGCCGCGUGGAGGAUGAAUGUCGUAAGAUUGUAAACUCCUGUUAGAGGGGAAGAAUAGUACCGGUUGGACCGGUAUAUGACUGUACCCUCAGAGAAAGCCCCGGCUAACUACGUGCCAGCAGCCGCGGUAAUACGUAGGGGGCAAGCGUUGUCAGGAUUUACUGGGUGUAAAGGGCGCGCAGGCGGGAUAAAAAGUCAGUGGUGAAAUCCUACAGCUUAACUGUAGAACUGCCUUUGAUGCUUUUAAGCUUGAGUUCGGGAGAGAGAGACGGAAUUCCAUGGGGAGUGGUGAAAUACGUAGAUAUCUGGAAGAACACCAGUUGCGAAGGCGGUCUCUUGGUCCGACACUGACGCUGAGGCG
rnacentral:rRNA from 1 species